CUUUUUUUGGGCCCAGGUGUAACUAACAUAUAUAUUAUAUUAGAACUUUAGGCUCUGGUAUUAAAUUAUUAUCGGGAUAAUGAUUCAAAAUGGGGGCUUGGUUGUGUAGGGUUAGCUGGUCCACCUUAAGACCAGGGGGGUUAGCUAGUCCUCCUUAAGUGAGCCUGAUCAUGUUCCACUGAGCACCAGGUGUAGCUCAUAUAGCAUAUAUAGCAUAUAACCCCUCUAUAUAUAGACCAGGCAAACCCUCAGGCUGUAAAGACAGUACCCCUCAUCUGUAUGGUGAAUUAAUUUGAGGUAUUCGUUAUUGGUGCUUUUGUUGUAUUUGCAUGCUUUAAGGUCCUGUGGCUUAGAGGGUUGACAGUUUAAUGUUAUAGGCCAGAUUUUUCUUUGACUGACAGCACACUCACUGGAUUGUUGGUGACUGAUGACAGAGUGAUGAAUAGCUCUUCCAGCCUGACGUGGGAGCUGAUUUACUGACUCGUGACUGUUAAGGCCAAAACCUGAUCCAGGAAGGGGGUGGUCCUGUUCAAGCCGGGGGCCUAAUAUGCCGAGUAACCACUCCUUCUAUUGCACGGUUGAGUGUUGUUUGCUGUGUUUGCACCUUGCACUUUAUCUUUAGUUUUGUGUGUUUGUGUGUAUAUUCUGUAAUUUCACCAACCUUUUGCGUUUGCGAAGAGUGGGUCUUCCUCUUACAUUUUCCUGGUAGACAGUGAACCUGCCCCUGAAUGGGAGUUCUUACUUUAAUAGUGCCCCUUUUUGUAUUUUUGGCUGUAGCUCAUCCUGACAUUGUUUUAUAUGGUUUAUAUUGUCAUUAACACAAUUGUUCCCAUACCUUGUUAUUCGUAAUGUUAAUGUUUAAGUUUUCUUGGUAUAUGUAAUAAAUAUAAUUGUUCUUAACCUUGGAAGUCUCUGCUAUCUCUUUCAUGUUGUAUGAAUGAGUUGGUUAAAUCUUCAUCCCCUGGUCAGUGUUAUCUGUGAGUGCUAGAUCUGCUGGAGCCAGGGUAGAUGGCCCCCCUUCCUUUCUAGUCUUCAUGCUAACUGGCCGCUAGCCCUAGC
rnacentral:lncRNA from 15 species